CCUACGGGGGGCAGCAGUGGGGAAUAUUGGGCAAUGGAGGAAACUCUGACCCAGCAACGCCGCGUGAAUGAUGAAGGUCUUCGGAUUGUAAAGUUCUUUUCUAAGGGAAGAAGAAAGUGACGGUACCUUAGGAAUAAGCCUCGGCUAACUACGUGCCAGCAGCCGCGGUAAUACGUAGGAGGCGAGCGUUAUCCGGAAUGACUGGGCGUAAAGGGUGCGUAGGUGGUUUGGCAAGUUAGUAGCGUAACUCCAAGGCUCAACCUUGGAACUACUACUAAAACUGUUGGACUUGAGUGCAGGAGGGGCAACCGGAAUUCCUAGUGUAGCGGUGGAAUGCGUAGAUAUUAGGAAGAACACCAGUGGCGAAGGCGACUUACUGGACUGUAACUGACGCUGAGGCAUGAGAGCAUGGGGAGCAAACAGGAUUAGAUACCCGGGUAGUC
rnacentral:rRNA from 1 species